AACCUGCCUCAUACAGGGGGAUAACGAUUGGAAACGAUUGCUAAUACCGCAUAAGCGCACAGUACCACAUGGUACGGUGUGAAAAACUCCGGUGGUAUGAGAUGGACCCGCGUCUGAUUAGCUAGUUGGUGAGGUAACGGCCCACCAAGGCAACGAUCAGUAGCCGACCUGAGAGGGUGACCGGCCACAUUGGGACUGAGACACGGCCCAGACUCCUACGGGAGGCAGCAGUGGGGGAUAUUGCACAAUGGAGGAAACUCUGAUGCAGCGACGCCCGCGUGAGUGAAGAAGUAUUUUCGGUAUGUAAAAGCUCUAUCAGCAGGGAAGAAAAUGACGGUACCCUGACUAAAGAAGCCCCNGGCUAACUACGUGCCAGCAGCCCGCGGUAAAUACGUAGGGGGGCAAGCGUUAUCCGGAUUUACUGGGUGUAAAAGGGAGCGUAGACGGCGAUGCAAGUCUGAAGUGAAAUACCCGGGCUCAACCCUGGGAACUGCUUUGGAAACUGUAUGGCUAGAGUGCUGGAGAGGUAAGCGGAAUUCCUAGUGUAGCGGUGAAAUGCGUAGAUAUUAGGAAGAACACCAGUGGCGAAGGCGGCUUACUGGACAGUAACUGACGUUCAGGCUCGAAAGCGUGGGGAG
rnacentral:rRNA from 1 species